GAUGAACGCUGGCGGCGCGCUUAACACAUGCAAGUCGAACGAUGAAGAAGAGCUUGCUCUUCGGAUUAGUGGCGAACGGGUGAGUAACACGUGACUAACCUGCCCCUUUCUCUGGGAUAACGCUCCGAAAGGAGUGCUAAUACCGGAUACUCACAUCGAGGCACAUGCCUUGAUGUGGAAAGUUUUUCGGAAAGGGAUGGAGUCGCGGCCUAUCAGCUUGUUGGUGAGGUAACGGCUCACCAAGGCGACGACGGGUAGCCGGCCUGAGAGGGCGACCGGCCACACUGGGACUGAGACACGGCCCAGACUCCUACGGGAGGCAGCAGUGGGGAAUAUUGCACAAUGGGCGAAAGCCUGAUGCAGCGACGCCGCGUGAGGGAUGAAGGUCUUCGGAUUGUAAACCUCUUUCAGUAGGGACGAAGCGAAAGUGACGGUACCUAAAGAAGAAGUACCGGCUAACUACGUGCCAGCAGCCGCCGUAA
rnacentral:rRNA from 1 species